CGGUCUGAACAAUAAACAAGAAGCCGUUGAAGAAGGGGGUGCUGCCCGCAGCUGACCUCUCUUUGUGUCACCGGGGAGCAGGAUGCCUGACUGACAACAGAGGCCGUGUCUGCAACGUCCUGCUUCCCAGAGCAGGGAUGCUUCAGUGCAUGUUUCUUCGGUGCCAGGGAGACCAACCUCCAGUGCUAACGCAAGGUCUGCUGUGAAAUCCAGCUCCACUCCAACCUGCAGAAGUAAAUCUGGAUGCGGGAGCUCCCUCAGGAUUUUUGCUCCUGGUGAUUCCGCUCUCAGACAGCUGGAAAAGAGAAGAAAGAGAAGAAUCCCAACUUCUUUUUUUCUUUUUUUUUUUUCCCCCAUUGUGUAAGUAUACAGAUGUGCUCUAGGAUCAGGUAGACGUUUUGUGAAGGCUCAGGCGCAGUUUCUGUACUGAAGCAGUGUGUUCUUUCUUGUCAAGGCACAAACCUUUGAUUUUAAGGAAAUUGCCAGUUCAUUUUCUGUUUCUUUUUAGAGACCCUCAAGAUAAACCCUUUUUUCAGUGCAGUUCCAACCUCCUGAUUUUCAGACACUAAUGUCUCUUCUCUCCCAUCUGCCUCCAGCCCCUUGCUGCCGGCACCGCCCAGGAAGGCCACGCUGGAGCUUUGAUCCAGGGCUGCGCUAUCCAACCCCUCCGUGUUUCAGGCACUGAAUGUCAAGAAUUGCCAUCCCGAUGAAGUCCUGGGCAGGCUGGGAGAGCCCCAUUCCAUCGUUCUUCAGCAUCCUGUCUCUGGGAGGUGAAGAGGUGCCGUUGUGAUCUACAAAAGCUCAGGCAGAGCGUCUCUGCCGCGAGAGGCGCAGCUGGGGAAGGCUGCCGGGGAGCUGGGCGCAGCAGGGGCUGCCCGAAUCCCCAGAACCUGGGGGGCUCUGUCAGAUUUCCUCAUCAUCUGGCACCUGUGGAGUAUUCUUAUCAGCAGUACAGUAUAACAGCUUUGCAGUUUCUUGCUUGAACGCUGGUAUCAGACCUACCCACCUCCUCGGUGACCUGUGCUCCGUACCGGCCAUCCUUUGUGCAGGAGGUGCGACCCCAGGACAGCUGCAUCUCCAGGAACGUGGACAGGCAAAGAGCAGCCAGUGCUGGGAGACCUCCGUGGUGCAAGGCUAG
rnacentral:lncRNA from 1 species